rnacentral:rRNA from 1 species
UACAUGGGGUGCAAACGUUGCUCGGAAUUAUUGGGCGUAAAGCGCACGUAGGCGGUCCGUUAAGUCGGGUGUGAAACCUCCAGGCUCAACCUGGAGACGCCACCCGAUACUGUCGUGACUAGAGUCCAGUAGGGGAGCGUGGAAUUCCUGGUGUAGCGGUGAAAUGCGCAGAUAUCAGGAGGAACACCAGCGGCGAAGGCGGCGCUCUGGGCUGGCACUGACACUGAGGAGCGAAAGCGUGGGGAGCGAACAGG